CAGAACGUCGUGAGACAGUUCGGUCCCUAUCCGUCGCAGGCGUAGGAAAUUUGAGAAGACCUGUCCUUAGUACGAGAGGACCGGGAUGGACGUACCUCUGGUGUACCAGUUGUCCUGCCAAGGGCAUGGCUGGGUAGCUAUGUACGGAAUGGAUAAGCGCUGAAAGCAUCUAAGCGCGAAGCCAACUUCAAGAUAAGAUUUCCCACCGCAAGGGUAAGACCCCAGAAAGACUAUCUGGUUGAUAGGUCGAAGGUGUAAGUGCAGCAAUGUAUUUAGCUUAUCGAUACUAAUAGGUCGAGGACUUGACCAA
rnacentral:rRNA from 1 species